rnacentral:tRNA from 1 species
GUUUGUGUAGCUUAACUCAAAGCAUAGCACUGAAAAUGCUCAGAUGAACCCUAACCAGUUCCAUAAAC